rnacentral:rRNA from 1 species
UACGGAGGGGGCAAGCGCUGUUGGGAUUUACUGGGCGUACAGGGAGCGUAGGCGGUUGGGUAAGCCCUCCGUGAAAUCUCCGGGCCCAACCCGGAAAGUGCGGUCGGGACUGCUCGGCUAGAGGAUGGGAGAGGAGCGCGGAAUUCCCGGUGUAGCGGUGAAAUGCGUAGAGAUCGGGAGGAAGGCAGGUGGCGAAGGCGGCGCUCUGGAACAUUUCUGACGCUGAGGCUCGAAAGCGUGGGGAGCAAACAGG